rnacentral:rRNA from 1 species
AGAGUUUGAUCCUGGCUCAGGACGAACGCUGGCGGCGUGCUUAACACAUGCAAGUCGAACGGUGAAGCCCAGCUUGCUGGGUGGAUCAGUGGCGAACGGGUGAGUAACACGUGAGUAACCUGCCCCUGACUCUGGGAUAAGCCUUGGAAACGAGGUCUAAUACCGGAUACGUGACGCUCAGGCAUCUGAUGCGUCUGGAAAGAUUUAUCGGUCAGGGAUGGACUCGCGGCCUAUCAGCUUGUUGGUGGGGUAACGGCCUACCAAGGCGACGACGGGUAGCCGGCCUGAGAGGGCGACCGGCCACACUGGGACUGAGACACGGCCCAGACUCCUACGGGAGGCAGCAGUGGGGAAUAUUGCACAAUGGGCGCAAGCCUGAUGCAGCGACGCCGCGUGAGGGAUGAAGGCCUUCGGGUUGUAAACCUCUUUCAGCAGGGAAGAAGCGCAAGUGACGGUACCUGCAGAAGAAGCGCCGGCUAACUACGUGCCAGCAGCCGCGGUAAU